rnacentral:sRNA from 1 species
GCUGUGGGAGUGGUGCCCAUGAUGGCAUUAACUGGAUUCGUUUGGGGGACCUCAUCUCCCCUUAAGGCUGCCAGCUGGCUAAAGGCACAGUGGUCGCUGGCAUACCUCUAGACCAUGGAUCCGAGGGCAUCUUGGAGACCCUGGGAUACUGGGGAGAGGGCUUCUAAGGCAGAGAGGAGCAGCUGGGCAUGGGCGAGGGGGAGGGGCACACUCUGUUGAGAAGGAAAGUCUUACGGAGCCUCAUGUUUGUACCCUGCAGGAGCUGGAGAAUCAGUACUGUCCCAGCCGAUGGGUUGUCCGACUGGGAGCAGAGGAAUCCUUGAGGACCUACUUACAGAUAGGAAUUGAAGCCACCAGGAGGGCCCGGGCCGCCAGGAAGAGCCUGCUGCAUGUCCCCUAUGGAGACGGCGAAGGGGAGAAAGUGGACAUUUACUUCCCUGACGAGUCAGCUGAAGCCUUGCCUUUCUUCCUGUUCUUUCACGGAGGA